UGGGGAAUAUUGCACAAUGGGGGAAACCCUGAUGCAGCGACGCCGCGUGAACGAAGAAGGUAUUCGUAUCGUAAAGUUCUGUCCUAUGGGAAGAUAAUGACAGUACCAUAGAAGAAAGCUCCGGCUAAAUACGUGCCAGAAGCCGCGGUAAUACGUAUGGAGCGAGCGUUGUCCGGAAUUAUUGGGCGUAAAGGGUACGCAGGCGGUUUAAUAAGUCGAAUGUUAAAGAUCGGGGCUCAACCCCGCAAAGCAUUGGAAACUGAUAAACUUGAGUAGUGGAGAGGAAAGUGGAAUUCCUAGUGUAGUGGUGAAAUACGUAGAUAUUAGGAGGAAUACCAGUAGCGAAGGCGACUUUCUGGACACAAACUGACGCUGAGGUACGAAAGCGUGGGGAGCAAACAGG
rnacentral:rRNA from 1 species